rnacentral:rRNA from 1 species
ACUCCUACGGGAGGCAGCAGUGGGAAUAUUGCACAAUGGGCGCAAGCCUGAUGCAGCCAUGCCGCGUGUGUGAAGAAGGCCUUCGGGUUGUAAAGCACUUUCAGUUGUGGAGGAGGUGGUGUACGUAAUAGCGCAUUAUUGACGUUAGCAACAGAAGAAGCACCGGCUAACUCCGUGCCAGCAGCCGCGGUAAUACGGAGGGUGCGAGCGUUAAUCGGAAUUACUGGGCGUAAAGCGCAUGCAGGUGGUUUGUUAAGUCAGAUGUGAAAGCCCGGGGCUCAACCUCGGAACUGCAUUUGAAACUGGCAGACUAGAGUACUGUAGA